rnacentral:rRNA from 1 species
CACGUAGGAGGCGAGCGUUGUCCGGAAUCAUUGGGCGUAAAGAGCGCGCAGGCGGCUUGGCAAGUCGGGUGUGAAAUCCCGGGGCUCAACCCCGUGACUGCAUCCGAUACUGUCAGGCUAGAGGUAGGUAGGGGAGAUCGGAAUUCCUGGUGUAGCGGUGAAAUGCGCAGAGUAUCAGGAGGAACACCGGUGGCGAAGGCGGGUCUCUGGGCCGUAACUGACGCUGAGGAGCGAAAGCAUGGGGAGCGAACAGG